GUCUCGAUAGCUCAGUGGUAGAGCAUGCGAUUGCAGUUCCUUAUGUUGUCAUCCCAUCGCAUGGUCCGGUGUUCAAACCACCGUCGGGACU